rnacentral:lncRNA from 1 species
AAUAUAUUCCCCAAAUCUUGCUACUCUUCUCUCUGCAUUCAUACCAAAGCUACUUUGAAACAUAGUUUUCAGUUUUCCAUCUCCAUUCACUCUGUCUCUAAUCAUGCUUCCAUGCACUGUUAUCUGAUUUUUACCCGUGAAAAAUCCACAUCACUUGUUCUGCUGCAAGUCACCUUUGACCUACUAGAUGCUAAAUCUAGAGGACAUAUUCUACACUUCACUACCUGUCCAAUGGGCAUAUUUUAAGUUUUAAAGCAUUCCAUUUUUCUUAAUAAUGUUUUUCUACCUUGACCUCUUGUCUUUCUUCAUGUUUUGUUUUUUCACCCAGUUCCUAGAAAAUUGAUUUUUUUUCCCCCUAGGAUCUUGUAUUUGGUCUUUUUUUUACUCUACCCAUUAUCCCUGUGUGGAAUGUCUAACUUCAGUACUUCAACCACUGAGCUAGCAAAUUCUGCACUGAAAUAUUCACAUGAGCACACUCCUCUGAGUCUUAAUCAUGUAUAUACAACAGUGUACUAGGUAUAAAAUUUGACUGUAUCUGAUUAACCUUGAAAAUAUUACUAGGUUCCUAAAAAAUGUCCUUGUUUGAAGAUGGGGCCAUCAUCAUCAUCAUCAGAAAUAAUUGUCUCAUAGAGGUUUUCUUGAGAAGAAAAAAUGAGAUAACAAGUAAAAAUGGAUUAUUAAAGGGCAUGCUAGUUAAUAUCUGAAUUAUUAAUUAUGUUAUAUCACAACAUGUAUUUUAUCUAAACUGUCUUUCAAUCUAUUGAUGUGAUGAAUUACAUUUAUUGAUUUCCAUAUGUUGAACCAACCUUACAUCUCUGAGAUGAACUCCACUUGAUCAUGGUGCACUAGCUUUUGAAUAUUUUGUUGUAUGUGAUUUGCCAGUAUUUUGUUAAGAAUUUUUGCAUCUGUAUUCAUGAGUGAUAUUGGUAUGAAGUUUUCUUUCUUUCAUGUGUCUUUGUCUGGUUUUGUUAUCAGAGUGAUACUAGCUUUAUAGAAUGAGUUGGGAAGGUUUCCUCCUUUUCUAUUUUACUGAAUAAUUUGGGGAGGAUUGGUGUUAGAUCUUUCUUGAAGAUCUAGUAGAACUCUUACCUGUUUCUUUCACGUUUCCUGUCAACUGGA